UACGGGGGGAGCAAGCGUUGUUCGGAUUUACUGGGCGUAAAGGGCGCGUAGGCGGUCAGCACAAGUCAGUUGUGAAAUCUCCGAGCUUAACUCGGAAAGGUCAACUGAUACUGCUCGGCUAGAGUGCGGAAGGGGCAACUGGAAUUCUUGGUGUAGCGGUGAAAUGCGUAGAUAUCAAGAGGAACACCUGCGGCGAAGGCGGGUUGCUGGGCCGACACUGACGCUGAGGCGCGAAAGCUAGGGGAGCGAACGGG
rnacentral:rRNA from 1 species